rnacentral:rRNA from 1 species
AUACGGAGGGUGCAAGCGUUACUCGGAAUUACGGGGCGUAAAGCGCGCGUAGGCAGUUGGAUAAGUCGGAUGUGAAAGCCCCGGGCUCAACCUGGGAACUGCAUUCGAAACUGUCCGGCUAGAGUAUGGUAGAGGGAAGCGGAAUUCCACAUGUAGCGGUGAAAUGCGUAGAUAUGUGGAGGAACACCAGUGGCGAAGGCGGCUUCCUGGACCAAUACUGACGCUGAGGUGCGAAAGCGUGGGGAACAAACAGGAUUAGAAACCCCAGUAGUCC